rnacentral:rRNA from 1 species
AUUGAACGCUGGCGGCAGGCCUAACACAUGCAAGUCGAACGGUAACAGGAAACAGCUUGCUGUUUCGCUGACGAGUGGCGGACGGGUGAGUAAUGUCUGGGAAACUGCCUGAUGGAGGGGGAUAACUACUGAAAACGGUAGCUAAUACCGCAUAACGUCGCAAGACCAAAGAGGGGGACCUUCGGGCCUCUUGCCAUCGGAUGUGCCCAGAUGGGAUUAGCUAGUAGGUGGGGUAACGGCUCACCUAGGCGACGAUCCCUAGCUGGUCUGAGAGGAUGACCAGCCACACUGGAACUGAGACACGGUCCAGACUCCUACGGGAGGCAGCAGUGGGGAAUAUUGCACAAUGGGCGCAAGCCUGAUGCAGCCAUGCCGCGUGUAUGAAGAAGGCCUUCGGGUUGUAAAGUACUUUCAGCGGGGAGGAAGGGAGUAAAGUUAAUACCUUUACUCAUUGACGUUACCCGCAGAAGAAGCACCGGCUAACUCCGUG